UCCUACGGGUGGCAGCAGUGGGGAAUAUUGGACAAUGGGCGAAAGCCUGAUCCAGCCAUGCCGCGUGUGUGAAGAAGGUCUUAGGAUUGUAAAGCACUUUAAGUUGGGAGGAAGGGCAGUUACCUAAUACGUGAUUGUUUUGACGUUACCGACAGAAUAAGCACCGGCUAACUCUGUGCCAGCAGCCGCGGUAAUACAGAGGGUGCAAGCGUUAAUCGGAAUUACUGGGCGUAAAGCGCGCGUAGGUGGUUUGUUAAGUUGGAUGUGAAAUCCCCGGGCUCAACCUGGGAACUGCAUUCAAAACUGACUGACUAGAGUAUGGUAGAGGGUGGUGGAAUUUCCUGUGUAGCGGUGAAAUGCGUAGAUAUAGGAAGGAACACCAGUGGCGAAGGCGACCACCUGGACUAAUACUGACACUGAGGUGCGAAAGCGUGGGGAGCAAACAGGAUUAGAUACCCCUGUAGUC
rnacentral:rRNA from 1 species